CCACCGCUCACACUAGCCAUAGCUAGCCAUAGCAGCUCCAGUUGAAGCGGCGAAAGACUAGUCUCCAUCUCCUCCCUCCACCCUCUCUCUAACCUUGUGCCUGGGAACCGAACAGCCCCGUAGAUUUUUCUGAAGCAUCCCACCUGACAUCCACGGUUGGAGGGGAUUUCUUCUCCUUUCAGCCUCCUCAUCUCAGGUGAUACCUCCCGCCUGCUAGUCUCCUGAUCUGCAAUAAUACAUCUGAACUAUUUCUUGAUUCUUGGGUGGCGAUUUUUUCCUCUUUGUAUCUGUUAUUGGUCUCUGAAUCCGGAUGUAUUCUUGCUUCUUUCUGGUUGCCUCGUAUUCUCUGAUUUUGUUUUCGUUUUCCCUUCCAGCUAAAAGAAAUCUUGGAUCUUGCUUUUCUAUUCUGUCCAUCGUCAUUCGCUCAUGUAAUAUCAUAUCCUUCAGGCUCCAAGAAGCCGCCAUCAACAUGCGGAAACUUGGGUCCGGCUAGCUUGGUCCUGGCCGGCGGUGACAACGAGAGAGAGCACGCCGGUGCGGCCGUCACGGUGAGGUGGCCCGUGGCGGCGUACUUGCGUGCUCCCUCCCGUUGUCACCGACUCACUGUCACACAUUACAGUAUACUUAUUAAUUAGCUUCUAUAUGCUUCGUCAUCACUUUUCCCUAUCACAAAUGUUCCUCCUUAAGUUAGGACCUCAAAUUUUCAGUGGAAACUGCAGUUAAUUACAGAUACUAGAUGAUGCAUUCCUCAAUAGUAGUAAUGCAGCAUUAUGCAUAAAUCGACCUCGCUAGACGAACAAUGCUUAUUAAAAAUUCUACUAUUGCGUGUGUGAAUGUGCGCAUUUGUGCUAGUCAUGCACUGAGAACAACAAAUUGUGUAAUUUGAUUUCUGGUUUAGAUGCUUGCUUUGUUCGUCUACAGCAGGAUUAGAGUGCUUGUACCAAUUUAGUAGGUUCUUUCAUUGCACACUCUAGUUUUGGUAGAUUAUUGCUUGUCAGAUGAUUUUGGAAUAAUUUCAAUCUGAAGAGAAUAUAAUUGGUACCUGUACUAUGUCUUCAAUCAAAUUAGGAGUAGGCUAUAUAUAUACACAAUCCGUUAGUUGAUACCUCCGUUUACAAUUAUAGAUAUUAGUUCUAGUAUUUGAUAAAUGUCAGGACCACAUGAAAUUAAGAUACAUCUGCACUUCAAAUUACUCCACUCUGCUAUUUUGCUAAAUAACUGCGCGCAUGCUCCAUCAAAUUCUAUCACUAACUAGUUCUUGAAAUGCAAUGUACCAGUAUUUUGUAUUUGCUGCUUCUUUUACCAUUCUUGAUAAAACUUUUUGUAUUACAGUUUGUUUUGCUCAUUUAUAUUGUAUUGUCACAGUUUGAAAUGCAUCGAUACAGAAUCUGUUACCUCCGUUAAAUUUUUCUUGUGGUUUUGGACAUAAAGACUGUUGCGAAAAAAUAAACAUAUUUAGUUAGUCGAUGGUAUACAAGUUGAGCCUCAACUAAACUCUAAGAGGUAGCCAAGUUGAGCCUCAACUAGACUAUAAAUGACAGCCUCUCUUGAUGGCAAAAAGAAUAGUUAGAUGAUGGUAGUCCAUUGCUGCUUAGUUAAUUAUUGUGAUCAGUGUUUCAAAUCGCUAGGCACUAAUUUGGGGAUGGGGGUUGACUGGGCAAUGCCUAGGCGGCCAAGCUAAAACUAGAAAGUAACUAGGCAAUGGAAGGAAUGGAAAGGCUUGUCCAAUCGAUGGAAGGGGAGGAAGAGGAGGGCAUCCUAAACAUUGUCAGCAGUGGUCGCUGGCCCCUGCCUUUGCUUUUGGAAAGGCAGGCGUUGUUGUGAAUGUUGACAGAGGUGGUGGGAGGGAGAUGAUGGACAAAGUCACAACGGGAUUUGUGAUCCAAUAUUCUAACCCUUAAUAAUGUAAUGAUGCUGUACUUGAGUUUUGUUCUGCCAAUAAAGAAACAAGCAAGAAGAAACCAUGAAAUCUUUAUCGCACUAGCAUGAAGUUAGUUUUGAUUAUAGGCUAACUGAUUUUUGCUGUAUUGAUGUGCAUACUAAACAGUAUGGUAUAAUCUUCACACUUGUGACUUGUGGCUAUUUAACAGUCCUUUGGACUAAGGGGAUAAGGACAAGUAAACAUAGAUGUAUAUAGGAAUUGAUUCCAUACAUAGGAAUAAGGUUGUCUGAUCAUGCAAUAUUAUUGGCCCCGGUGGCCAACAUACAGUUGACUGAUCAUGCAAUGCCUAAGGUUGACUAACAUCUAUAUUAAGGGCAUCAAAUUGUUCGAGUUUAUAUUGACUGAUCAUAGAAUAGAUAUUGGAUUUUUUUAAAGGAAGAAUAAAUAGCAUGUGCAAAUAUAAAAUUUAUUGAAUCGAUGGAAAGAGUCAAAUGGGAACUGCCUUACUCUAGGAAGCUGAGAUCUAGAGAUAUUGGGCAUUACGUAAGUAUCUAAAGAAACUGACCAAUCCAGUGUUGUGUUUUAGUUUUAGUAAGUGCUGGUUCUGUCGUUUUCCCUUACCAAUGAAGCAGUUGUUUCCUUUUCUCAAUUUAUAUUCCAGCUAUGUUUGCAUCAUGCCUACAUUCAAGUGGUUUUCAAGAUCUUCCCUUUCUUUUGUAUGACUCUGCUUUCCUGUGAGUUGAGUUAUUACCACCUUUUAUCAUGUGUAUAAAUCUCUUUCAUACUGUUUUUUUCUUGACAGUGACAUCCAUAUGGUUAUUACCAUGCAUUGUCAUUGUUACAUUCCACUCUUUUCUUGCAUUCUCUUUAUUUCACCCUUGCUUCCUAUUAUGUUGCUGCUGGCAAAAACAAACUGAGUAGCAUUCAUUAGAAAAAGGCAUCGGGGCGCUAGACUAGUUUCAAAUUUUCCGUUUUUACAUUAUUUUCAAUUAAACCACAUGGUCUCAGUUUGAUUUUUUUAUUUUGCACGAGAUGCUUCCUCUCAUUCUUUUUUCUUCUCAUGUUUUUAAAUUUUAUCAUUUUUCUUGGAUAUUGGUCAAAUUAUUUACUAUUUUUAAUUUAUACAUCAGUUGCAAUUGUUUUUGUGUGAACAUGGUGCGAUAGUAGAUAAUUUGAUAUAAGCAAUGGCUGGACAGAAAAAAUUCCAAAAUGAAGAAUCCCACACGACCGCUGUGAUUUUUGUUGUAUUCUUGAUCCUACCAUGUACCAUAGCCUGAUUAUUAUUGCCUAACAUUUUGUUCUGUUCCAAUUUUAGCAAUGUUAAUUGUGUAUAUUGGCAAUGCCAUUGCUAUUGGCAAGUGCAUUGUAAGCUUGUUAGAACGCAAAGAUGCUUGUUAUAGAAUGCAAAGAUACGUAGUUCUCCUGUGCAGUCUAAAAAAGACAAUGCCAUUGUAUUCUUUUACUUGAAAAGGCAUUGUUUAGCAUGCCUCUGUUUAGUCUAGUGGAUUAUGGCGAUGUUUUUCAGUAACAAUCUUACCCUCCCAAGAUAAUUUUGCAUGUUUAAUCAUGUAAUUUUGUAUCUUUACUUUUUCCUUAAAAUUUCCAUCUUUCUGCAUAUAUAGCAUAAUGAAUUUUCGUCCUGUACUAAAAACUGCAUUAUUUCAUUGCUUGUUUUGCUGUCUGUGUUUGAUCUUGUGCCAUGCAGGCUUGCUUGGAGGGACCAGAGUCUAAUAAAAAAACGUGGCACUGCAAUAAUGUCCUCGACAAUAAUAUUCCUUAUGUCAAUCUCUAUUUUUGAUUGCCGCGUGCUUCCUCUUUUCGGAAAUUAAGCCAAACCUUUUUAAUUUUGACCGUAAAUAUUUAAGAUUUUUAUAUGGAUUGACAAUGGCAUUAUUAGGUUCAUCAUGAAAAACACUUUCGUAGUAUGUAACUCUUUUAUUUAGAUAAUAUAUUUUUAUAGAUACUGUGGUUAAAGUGACACCUUGUAGACCAUGGCAAUGCCCUAAUAGACUUAUAUUUCCAAUGGGAGGUAGCACUGAUUUUCGGUACCUCCUAAAGUUAUAUCAGUCCGGGGUUGUAUGUGUACACCAAAGAAUACCUAAUGGCAACUUUAACUAAUGGUGUAAUAUCAAUGGAUGGUAUGUUGCACAAAUUGUUCUAAUGAUUUAUCUUGAAUCCAUGGUCGCAUAUAUGGGCCUGUUUGGUAGAGCUCCCAGCUUCUCGGCUGAACCCAGGAGGAGUUUGCCAAACAGUUUCUCGGCUGAACCCAGGAGGAGUUUUGCCAAAUAGUUUUUCAGGAUUUUAGGAAGAAGCGAAAGUGAUUCUCUGAUUCUCUGAUUUGUGAAGUGAUUCUCUAAAAUAAACUAAGUAAAAUAAACUAAGUAAUUGGGAGUUGAAAAAGUAACAUUUCUACAUAAAAUUAAUCAUACAUAAUAAUUGAGAAUCACUUUUAGACAAAUCAUUUCUCUUCCAAGAAUCAGCUUCCACUGAGAAUCAGGAGUAGGUGGAGCUUACUAAACAGGUUCUAAGCUGCUCCUGAAUGUAUGUUACAUUGAGGCAUUAACAUUUUCUUGCCGAUGCUAAACUUAUGCAUUUUGGUCAAUACAAAUAAGAGCAAGUCUUUCGGAGUGUU